rnacentral:rRNA from 4 species
CGGCUGUAGCGCGGUGGUCCCACCUGACCCCAUGCCGAACUCAGAAGUGAAACGCCGUAGCGCCGAUGGUAGUGUGGGGUCUCCCCAUGCGAGAGUAGGGAACUGCCAGGC